CUGGAGAGGAAACGAAAGCAUAGAAAGCUGGAAAGGAAGAGAGAUGGUUGGCUGAUGGCUUCUCUCUUUUUUUCUUUCCCCGUUUUAACUUAUCUAUCUAUUUCCAUGGCCACUAUAUAUUACCAACAACUAUCCCUUUGAGUUCUUCAUUCUCUAUUUCUUUCAUAAAUAGUGUUAAUUGAGGACGGAUGGCAUGGAUUCCCUGUUCCGGUAUUUCAAGAGCCAAUAACUCAAAGAAGAAGACGAAGAAAUGGAUGAUCAUCAACCAGAAGCAACUUGAUCAGAUCAAACCCACUUCAGAGAAAUUGGAGUGCAAUUCCCCUUUAAGUGUUAAGGAUGCUUCUAAACAUGGAGGGUCAGAUAACAUUUCAGCACUGACAUUUACAUUCCGUGAAUUGGCAACCGCAGCUAAAAAUUUUAGAGCAGAAACUUUGUUGGGUGAGGGAGGAUUUGGAAGGGUGUACAAAGGGCGUCUAGAAAGCACUAACCAGGUUGUAGCUAUCAAGCAACUUAAUCGUAAUGGUUUGCAAGGGAACAGGGAAUUUCUAGUUGAAGUGUUGAUGUUAAGUCUACUUCACCACCCUAAUCUUGUUAAUCUAAUUGGUUAUUGUGCUGAUGGAGAUCAAAGGCUACUGGUUUAUGAGUACAUGCCUCUAGGAUCUUUAGAAGACCAUUUGCAUGAUAUUUCACCAGGCAUGAAACGACUUGAUUGGAACACAAGAAUGAAAAUAGCAGCUGGUGCAGCGAAAGGAUUGGAGUAUUUACAUGAUAAAGCUAGUCCCCCUGUUAUAUAUCGAGAUUUAAAGUGCUCCAACAUUUUGCUUGGUGAGGGCUAUCAUCCUAAGCUCUCUGAUUUUGGCUUGGCUAAACUUGGGCCUGUUGGAGAUCACACCCAUGUAUCCACUAGGGUCAUGGGCACCUAUGGAUACUGUGCCCCAGAAUAUGCAAUGACAGGUCAGCUGACUAUCAAAUCAGAUGUUUAUAGUUUUGGGGUUGUUCUUCUGGAAAUCAUUACAGGCCGAAAGGCAAUCGACAGUUCGAAAGCUACAGGGGAGCAAAAUCUUGUUGCUUGGGCAAGCCCCUUGCUCAAAGACCGAAAAAAAUUCUCACAAAUGGCUGAUCCAAUGCUUCAAGGUCAGUAUCCUCCAAGGGGUUUGUACCAAGCUCUUGCUAUUGCAGCAAUGUGUGUCCAGGAGCAGCCUAAUUUGAGACCAGUUAUAGCUGAUGUGGUUACAGCUUUGACUUACCUUGCUUCACAAAAAUAUGACCCAGAUGCACAGACGGCCCCUGGCACUCCUAGAAGAACAAAGAAGGAAGCAAAGCUCAGUAGUGGCAGGAUCUGACAGGUUUCAAACCAAGGGGAUUAAGUUAAGAUUGUUCCACUACUGAUUGUUGAUAUCUUGGAUUCCUUGUGCUUGACAAGGAAAUAUUAAUGCUCAAAAGGAUUGCAUACAAAUUAAUGUAGAUCACAAGGCUCAGAGUUUUAGCAUCGGCCACAUCUCAUUAGGGCCUUCAUAUCAAAUUUUUGUGUCAUUCCGGGUAUUUGGUAUUUUUUAUAUUAGCAGAUACGUCUUGAACCAGAGUAGUUGGUUGUAAUCAUAUACAUAUUCCCAACGACCUAUGUUGAUCCCUAUUGUUUGUUAAUACCAGGUGCGAGGGCUUUCUAAUGCUGGUGGUUGUAUAUUUCUUGUUCUUCAACAUAUGAAAGCCUUGUAAAAUUAAACAGUUCGAUAAUAGAACAUGGCACUGAGAUGCAAAUGGAAACGUAGGCUUGCAAGC
rnacentral:misc_RNA from 1 species